AACGAACGCUGGCGGCAUGCCUAACACAUGCAAGUCGAACGAGACCUUCGGGUCUAGUGGCGCACGUGUGCGUAACACGUGGGAACCUGCCCUUAGGUUCGGACUAACUCCCCGAAAGGGGUGCUCAUACCGGUUAAUGUCUUCGGACCAAAGAUUUAUCGCCUUUGGAUGGGCCCGCGUUGGAUUAGCUGGUUGGUAGGGUAAAAGCAUACCAUGGCGACGAUCCAUAGCUGGUCUGUGAGGAUGAUCAGCCACACUGGGACUGAGACACGGCCCAGACUCCUACGGGAGGCAGCAGUGGGGAAUAUUGGACAAGGGGCGAAAGCCUGAUCAAGCAAUGCCGGGUGAGUGAUGAAGGCCUUAGGGUUGUAAAGCUCUUUUACCCGGGAUGAUAAUGACAGUACCGGGAGAAUAAGCUCCGGCUAACUCCGUG
rnacentral:rRNA from 1 species